CUCUGUGUAGCUCUGGUUGUCCUGGAACUUACUCUAUAGGCCAGACUGGCCUUGAACUCAGAGAUUCCUGCCUCUGGUGCACCACCACCUCUGGGCUCACUUCUUUUUGAGACAGGAUCUUUCCAUGAAGCCCGUACUGGUUCUCAGCUGACAGGUUUUUAGAGGCUGUCUGCUGUCUCCCAGGAUGAGGGGAGCUAGGGUACUGCAGGGACAGUGUGCCCCUUACCCCCGUACUGCCACUUUGGGACCAGGCCUCUGGCCUCCUGCAGGAGCCCCGCCCGCCACCGCCUCUGCGCUCAGUCCUAAACGGAGCAGCAGGUGUGAGAAGCUGCUCCCACCACCCAGGUGGGGGAGGGGUGGGAACCAAGAAAAGCCUCGAGUAAGACGCGAACUGAGGCCCUCGUGGGGAGGCCUCUCCGAGGGAGGCAGACGAGCAAGGAAACACCAAGGUUCAAAUGUGGGCACGUUUUCUACUUCAAGGAAGAAAAGAAGAAGAAGGGAGAUAAAUCGAAAGCUGCGCCCCGAGGUCUGACUUCCUUGCAAGGAGCUCGUGGAAGCGGACGCUACCCGACGUCAACAGACACCAGCCGUUAGGAAAAGGCAGUGGGUAGUGCAUGUGCCUUCCCUGGGCCUGCGACAAGGAUGAGAACGCUAUAAAAUACCUUAACUUGA